GACGAACGCUGGCGGCGUGCUUAACACAUGCAAGUCGAACGAUGAACCCGGAGCUUGCUCCGGUGGAUUAGUGGCGAACGGGUGAGUAACACGUGGGUGAUCUACCCUGCACUUCGGGAUAAGCCUGGGAAACUGGGUCUAAUACCGGAUAGGACCACUGCCUGCAUGGGUGGUGGUGGAAAGCUUUUGCGGUGUGGGAUGGGCCCGCGGCCUAUCAGCUUGUUGGUGGGGUGAUGGCCUACCAAGGCGACGACGGGUAGCCGGCCUGAGAGGGUGACCGGCCACACUGGGACUGAGAUACGGCCCAGACUCCUACGGGAGGCAGCAGUGGGGAAUAUUGCACAAUGGGCGCAAGCCUGAUGCAGCGACGCCGCGUGAGGGAUGACGGCCUUCGGGUUGUAAACCUCUUUCAGCACCGACGAAGCGCAAGUGACGGUAGGUGCAGAAGAAGGACCGGCCAACUACGUGCCAGCCGCCGCCGUAA
rnacentral:rRNA from 1 species